rnacentral:rRNA from 1 species
UGCAAGUCGAGCGGUAGAGAGAAGCUUGCUUCUCUUGAGAGCGGCGGACGGGUGAGUAAUGCCUAGGAAUCUGCCUGGUAGUGGGGGAUAACGUUCGGAAACGGACGCUAAUACCGCAUACGUCCUACGGGAGAAAGCAGGGGACCUUCGGGCCUUGCGCUAUCAGAUGAGCCUAGGUCGGAUUAGCUAGUUGGUGAGGUAAUGGCUCACCAAGGCGACGAUCCGUAACUGGUCUGAGAGGAUGAUCAGUCACACUGGAACUGAGACACGGUCCAGACUCCUACGGGAGGCAGCAGUGGGGAAUAUUGGACAAUGGGCGAAAGCCUGAUCCAGCCAUGCCGCGUGUGUGAAGAAGGUCUUCGGAUUGUAAAGCACUUUAAGUUGGGAGGAAGGGCAGUUGCCUAAUACGUAACUGUUUUGACGUUACCGACAGAAUAAGCACCGGCUAACUCUGUGCCAGCAGCCGCGGUAAUACAGAGGGUGCAAGCGUUAAUCGGAAUUACUGGGCGUAAAGCGCGCGUAGGUGGUUUGUUAAGUUGGAUGUGAAAUCCCCGGGCUCAACCUGGGAACUGCAUUUGUGACUGCAUUGCUGGAGUGCGGCAGAGGGGGAUGGAAUUCCGCGUGUAGCAGUGAAAUGCGUAGAUAUGCGGAGGAACACCGAUGGCGAAGGCAAUCCCCUGGGCCUGCACUGACGCUCAUGCACGAAAGCGUGGGGAGCAAACAGGAUUAGAUACCCUGGUAGUCCACGCCCUAAACGAUGUCAACUGGUUGUUGGGUCUUCAUUGACUCAGUAACGAAGCUAACGCG